CGGGCGCUGGGCGGGCAGGGGCUGGUGCUGCUGCCGUCGGUGUUCAUCUGGCCGGAGGUGGUGAGCGGUUUCGAUCCGCCGUGGCAGCC
rnacentral:tRNA from 1 species